AUACGGAGGGGGCUAGCGUUGCUCGGAAUUACUGGGCGUAAAGCGCGCGUAGGCGGUUUGGUCAGUCGGAUGUGAAAGCCCUGGGCUCAACCCAGGAACUGCAUUCGAUACUGCCUGACUUGAGUAUGGUAGAGGGAAGUGGAAUUUCCGGUGUAGCGGUGAAAUGCGUAGAUAUCGGAAGGAACACCAGUGGCGAAGGCGACUUCCUGGGCCAAUACUGACGCUGAGGUGCGAAAGCGUGGGGAGCAAACAGGAUUAGAAACCCCGGUAGUCC
rnacentral:rRNA from 1 species